rnacentral:rRNA from 1 species
AUGCAAGUCGAGCGGCAGCACAGAAGAGCUUGCUCUUUGGGUGGCGAGUGGCGGACGGGUGAGUAAUGUCUGGGAAACUGCCCGAUGGAGGGGGAUAACUACUGGAAACGGUAGCUAAUACCGCAUAACGUCCCGAGACCAAAGUGGGGGACCUUCGGGCCUCACACCAUCGGAUGUGCCCAGAUGGGAUUAGCUAGUAGGUGGGGUAAUGGCUCACCUAGGCGACGAUCCCUAGCUGGUCUGAGAGGAUGACCAGCCACACUGGAACUGGGACACGGUCCAAACUCCUACGGGAGGCAGCAGUGGGGAAUAUUG